rnacentral:rRNA from 1 species
AGGCUUUCCGCCAGAGAACUACAAGUGAAAAACUUAAAACUCAAAGGACUUGACGGUGUCCCAUACCGACCUAGAGGAGCCUGUCCUAUAAUCGAUACCCCCCGCUCAACCUGACCUUAGCUAGCCAUCCCAGCCUAUAUACCGCCGUCGACAGUCUACCCCAUGAGGGCUCAACAGUAGACACAACAGCCCCUCCCGCUAACACGUCAGGUCAAGGUGUAGCAUAUGCUAAGGAAGAGAUUGGCUACAUUUUUUAAUUUAAAAAACCACGAAAUGCAGCAUGAAACACUACAUAAAGGUGAAUUUAGCAGUAAACUAGACAAGAGAGUCUAUUUUAACCUCGCUCUGGGACGCG